GCCUCAGUCAAACGCAGCGGCUGUAAGGAGCGGCAGGGCUACCGAGUGUGUGCUUGUGUGUCUGUGUCUCUCCCCCUGCCCCCCAUCCCGCCUUGCUGUGUGUACUUGACCUCCACCACCUACGAUCAACUCCACAGCCCGGCGUGCUUCACGCUGCACCACAAAGAUGAACGCCAUUGGUGCCACGGGUGCGUCGACGAUGUCUGUGGCAAGCGUCAGCAGCAGCGUGAUGAGCGACGGCAAGAGGUACGAGGGUGCCUUCGACCAGCUCUACGGUGACACACACGAGCAGCUGCGGCAGCUAGCGCCGCUGAUCCACACAACCUUGUCGGCCUUCGUGGCCGCGCUGGAGUACUGGCUUCCGUUUCCGCCGGAGUGGCUGCUGCUGCUGGGCCCGUUUCUAGUAGGCUUUGUACAAGCGGUGUGGCCUAAGCUGUCGUCGCGGAUGUCGGUUUGGCGCAGCGGCGUUGGGCGGUGCUACGCUUCCCGGGUGCUAGUGCACGAGGCACCGAUGAACUUGUAUGAUGAGGUGAACAGCUUGAAUGAGCUGAUGUUCAACGCCGUUCUUCUCUACGUAUGCGGAACGCUGUGGCGCCAGAAGCCACUGCCAGAGUCGCGGCUGAUCGGCUUGCAGACGCGCGUGAUACUCAUGGACCCGUACCGCUGCUAUAGUUCCUCCACCUACGGCUCGCCAUUCCGAAUCGCCCACGAGGAGAACGAUGCAGACGAGAGGCAGAACCUGAAAACAGAGACCGUGUCCCGGCUGCGCGUCGUGAAGGUGCCACUCGACGUGUACCUGCCGGUGCAGGUGGACGACAUCGAGCUGUGCUACACAGAGGAGUCUUUUCACAAAAGCGGCUGCCGAGAUCGAUGGACACGGCACAACCUGACGCUGCGGUGCAAAAACUCGACGGAUGCCGGUGCGAAGCUGGACGAAUUCGUGCAACGCGCGCUGGAGGUGUUCGCGGAGGGGGCACCGGGCAAAGAGGACGACGCACUGCGGUGGUUCUUCGCGUACGGGGGCGAGUCUGACGACAAGGUGUUCUUCAACCAGUAUGUGCUGCGCAGCAACAAGGGCUUCGACACGCUAUUCUUCCCGCAGCGCGACGCGACGCUGACGCUGAUCAAUCAAUUUAUGCAGCGGCGCGGCCGGUUCGCCGUGGAGGGGUUCCCGCAGAGGCUGGGGUUCCUUGUAUACGGGCCGCCGGGGACGGGGCGGCACGCGUUCGUGAAGGCGCUCGCGGCGCACACCGGGCGGCACAUCGUGUCUGUGCCGCUGUCGAAGCUGCGCACGAACCAGCAGCUGUACGAAAUCUUCUUUGCGCGCGAGUACCAGUCGGAGGAGGGGGACAGCGUGCAGAAGCUGCGCAUGGAGGACGUGAUCUUCUUGUUCGACGACGUGGACGCGGCGGACUCUGUUGUGUGCGCGCGUGCUGCGCGCCGCGUGGUGCAGCGCCGUGCUGCUGCUCGGCUGACUGCGCGCGCGGGGUGGCGCGAGGCCCCGCUGACGAACUGCGUGAUCGAGAUGGACACGUCGUCGUCGCGGCCGGUGAUGCGCGUGGAGGACAACACGCUGCCGCUUGCGCUGCUGCUGAAGAUUAUGGGUAGCGACGCAUCGAAGAAUGACGGCGCGUCAGCGGUGGACCGCGGUGGCGGCAGGAGCACGGGCGGGCGGCGGCAGAAGAUGGAGGAGACGGCGGCGGCAGCAUGUGAAGCGGGCGCGAAGGUUGCUGGCGGGCACCUGCUCGGAAUGAACGACGUGCUGCUCGGGGAUAGCAAGGACAAGCUGGACCUGUCGGGGCUGCUGAACGUGCUGGACGGCGUGGUGGACAUGCCUGGGCGGAUGGUUGUGAUGAUCACGGAGCAUCCGGAGUGGCUGGACCCUGCGCUGAUCCGGCCGGGUCGCUUCAGUGUGCGGCUGCGGUUGGACUACAUGGAGAUGGAGACACUUGUGCAGAUGCUGGGCCUGUACUACGGCGACGUGGCGCACUCGCGGCGCGGCAGCGGUGCUGGUGCCGAUGGCUGUGCUGCGGGUGCGGGCGUGGGCGGCCGUGUGGAGGCGGCUUGCGCGGCGCAGUACUCUGCGGCUGGUUCUGCUGCUGGGUGUGUGGUGCACCGCGAGCUGAGCGAGGCGCAGGUGGCGCGUGUGCGUGGCGUUGUUGCUGCUCUGGAGGCGGAGGCGGACGCUGCUGGUGCGCGCGAGGUGAGCGCGGAUGGCAGCAGCGGCAGCGGCAGCGGCGAGAGCAAGUACCGCUUCCAGGUGACGCCAUGCGAGGUGGAGAUGCUUUGCAUGGAGCAGGACGACCUGGAGGGCUUCCUGAGCCAGUUGGCUGGCCUGGUGCGUGGGACGGUGCAGCUUUGAAGAGCGCGUGCGUGUGUGCCUGCAGCACGGGGCGACGCUCAUCGCUGCGGUCGCGACGGCUACCGCUCCUGGCCUUUGAGUGAGGCUGCUUCCCUGUGCCCCCAUCCCCUCCCUCCUGGCAGCCCUCCGCCAGUGCAUCGUCCCCCCCCCGCUCCCCACUCGCCUCCCCCCUCUCCAUCGCUUCCUCUCCCUCUGUGUGGCUGCUCGGUGCGGGUCGAUGCCCGUCCCUCUCGGCUUUGCCCUCGCCGCCGCCAUUUUGCAAGUGCCGGUGUUUCUUGUGGUUCGCUAUGGGGCAAUCCACGUUUUACGCGCGUGCACGUGCGCGCAGAUGCUGCUGUGUCUGUCUGUAUGUAGAUGCUGAUGUAUGUGGGUGUGGACGGCAUGCAUAUAAACGACGCGAUUAUCUUCUGUGGUGCGUCUCUGUAUGGUUAUUGUUGUUGGCCCAUCAGCGUAGGCCUUGGUGAUGCGCCGCUGGGUGAAAGAUGAAGCGGUGCUGCUCGCCAGCGGCACUAUACACACUGACAUAGACACGAGUAUGGCGGUAAGCGCACGAGAGUGUUUUGGUGGGGCGUGGAGUGCCAGAGUUUUCG
rnacentral:misc_RNA from 1 species